ensembl:lncRNA
GGCUGGUGGAGGCUGGAGCGGUCCCACGGACCCUCCAGCGACGACAAAGGCUGGGGCGGUCCCACGGACCCUCCCCCCAGCGAAGGCGGAUGAAGGCUGGAGCGGACCCACGGACCCUCCAGCAGACGACGAAGGCUGAGGCGGUCCCUCCCUCGGACCCUCCAGCAACGGCAAACGGCUGAAGCGGCCCUCGGACCCCACAGUGACUGGACGAGCCCCCAUAUGUUACACCCCGGCCUAGGCAACCGGAGUGCAACACGAAAAAAAGUAAAAAUAAAGAAAAAACACACGAGAAAGAACUAAUACGGACCCUCCACAAAAUUAAUCCCAAAACGAGAUUUAAAGCAAAAUACCACAUUUAUUUACAUCACCAAACACAAGACGUCAAACUAUUUACAACGGGGGGAAGAUCGCGACCAUGACAUACAGAAACACAAGGCUUAAAUACAUAGAAGGAGCAAUCAGGGAAUGGACCACAGGAGGGAAACACAGCUGGGGCAAAUUAGACCUGACGAGACAAGGAAACGUAAACUGAACACACUAAGAUAACAGACCUUCAAAAUAAAACAGGAAACACAUGACAGUCACGCAAAAACAAAACACUGACAACACCGAAACGUAACACCAAGAAAAACAAAGGUGAGCAAAGUCUGCCAUCAUCUCCACUGAAUAUUGUUCAACAUGUUUAUCUGCUCUUACAAUGUAAAUCUGUUUAUUUUAAUAUUUAUAUUUAUGUAUUCACAAUCCAUCAGCUUUUAAAAAUCUACUAUUUUAUCUUUGCAUUAGUGGAGACAUCCAGUUUCCUCCUGGUUAAUGAUAUUAUUGUUUUCAAUGAUCUUCUCGUCAUUCACAGGAACAUCAAGUCCUGCAGCUGAUGCAGCAGUUUAUUCUGAAGUCACAUCAGGAAGCUCUCUCA